CCCAUCCCUCUCUCUCUGGCCCCAUCCCUCUCCGUCUCCCUCCCUCUCUCUCCAUCUCCCUCCCUCUCUCUCCGUCUCCCUCCCUCUCUCUCUGGCCCCAUCCCUCUCUCUCCGUCUCCCUCCCUCUCUCUCUGGCCCCAUCCCUCUCUCUCCGUCUCCCUCCCUCUCUCUCUGGCCCCAUCCCUCUCUCUCCGUCUCCCUCCCUCUCUCUCUGGCCCCAUCCCUCUCUCUCCGGCUCCAUCCCUCUGUCUCCCUCUCUCUGGCCCCAUCCCUCUCUCUCUGUCUCCCUCCCUCUCUCUCUGGCCCCAUCCCUCUCUCUCCGUCUCCCUCCCUCUCUCUCUGGCCCCAUCCCUCUCUCUCCGGCUCCCUCCCUCCCUCUCUGGCCCCAUCCCUCUCUCUCCGUCUCCCUCCCUCUCUCUCUGGCCCCAUCCCUCUCUCUCCGUCUCCCUCCCUCUCUCUGGCCCCAUCCCUCUCUCUCAGUCUCCCUCCCUCUCUCUCUGGCCCCAUCCUAACUAACCAUAGCGGCAUGUGUACAUAGCCAAUCAUCUUUUAUAGCCGAAUGGCUCCAGUAAAACCAAUAUGGAUAUUGUAGAAAAGGGCAGGUUGAUGCUGAUACUUAAGCAUUGCUGGCACACAUCCAGGAUGUGUAAAAUGGGCCAUUCUGCUAGAAUGCUUUUUCUACGAGGACAUAACCACCUGGCCUGCAUGACACACAUACUGUAUAUCUCUGCCCGCUCUAGACCCAAUUAGUGCUUUUUGAUAGAUUUGUUAAAGCUUUGCAUGUAAAUAUGUUAUUUGGUAUUAAGGGGGUUGCUUUACACUGCAGUGACCAGGUUGUACAGUAUUGGAAAAAUAUACUUUAUCAGUGACCCACCUGAAUGAAUAUGGUUCUAUUAGUUAAAGUAUACUGUGUAGAGCAGACACGGGUCAAAUAUAUUAUGUCAGAUGCCUUUAAAAGGAUGUUUUUGAGCUGUGCUGAACACAUGAAACCAAUGGAAUAGUCCCAAAAGUGCAAACUCCAAGUUAAUUCAAGUGUGCCUUGGAGUAGGUCUAGGGAAUAGGGAGAGAUCCGUAUUGGACCCAGGUCUGUGUGUCGAGGGAAAGUCCGGAUGCGUCCUAAACACGUGCCACUGACUGGUUGAAGUGUGUUGGUGCAGUCUGAAUCUGAGGCUGUAGAGGGGCCCACUGCCCGGCAAUCAGCGGCAGCUACCAAAGCUCCCAACCAGAGACUCAUGUCGUCAUAAACGGAUGGAUCCCAUGACAACCACAGUACAUACAGUAAUGUAUAAUAAUGUAGGUUACAUGGUGGUGUCAGGCACCCCCUGGAGGAGGAGAAUAUUUAGUCAUGUUGGGAUAUGGGAUUCCAUUCCUCUGUAGGGCCGUCUACAUCUCACACACAGUCAACUCCACACAGGACUACUCGGACUCACACAGGCCUCUGACAUGACACCAAACUCCCAUCAUUAUAGCGAUGUGCUACGUAUAUCGUCUUGUAUCCUCGGGGUUAGAGAGUUGGGCCAGUAAACGAAAGUUUUGAAUGAAAAAUCUAUCGGAUGUUGCCCUUGAGCAAGGCACUUAACCCUAUUUGCUCCAGGGGUGCUGUACUACUAUGACUGUCCCUGUUAAACAACGCAAAUGUAUUUUAUAUAUAUAUAUAUCUUUAUAUUAUCC
ensembl:lncRNA